AGUCGAACGGCAGCACGGGCUUCGGCCUGGUGGCGAGUGGCGAACGGGUGAGUAAUACAUCGGAACGUGCCCUGUAGUGGGGGAUAACUAGUCGAAAGAUUAGCUAAUACCGCAUACGACCUGAGGGUGAAAGCGGGGGACCGCAAGGCCUCGCGCUACAGGAGCGGCCGAUGUCUGAUUAGCUAGUUGGUGGGGUAAGAGCCUACCAAGGCGACGAUCAGUAGCUGGUCUGAGAGGACGAUCAGCCACACUGGGACUGAGACACGGCCCAGACUCCUACGGGAGGCAGCAGUGGGGAAUUUUGGACAAUGGGGGCAACCCUGAUCCAGCAAUGCCGCGUGUGUGAAGAAGGCCUUCGGGUUGUAAAGCACUUUUGUCCGGAAAGAAAUGGCCUGGGUGAAUACCCCGGGUCGAUGACGGUACCGGAAGAAUAAGCACCGGCUAACUACGUGCCAGCAGCCGCGGUAAUACGUAGGGUGCGAGCGUUAAUCGGAAUUACUGGGCGUAAAGCGUGCGCAGGCGGUUUUGUAAGACAGGCGUGAAAUCCCCGAGCUUAACUUGGGAAUGGCGCUUGUGACUGCAAGGCUAGAGUAUGUCAGAGGGGGGUAGAAUUCCACGUGUAGCAGUGAAAUGCGUAGAGAUGUGGAGGAAUACCGAUGGCGAAGGCAGCCCCCUGGGACGUCACUGACGCUCAUGCACGAAAGCGUGGGGAGCAAACAGGAUUAGAUACCCUGGUAGUCCACGCCCUAAACGAUGUCAACUAGUUGUUGGGGAUUCAUUUCUUCAGUAACGUAGCUAACGCGUGAAGUUGACCGCCUGGGGAGUACGGUCGCAAGAUUAAAACUCAAAGGAAUUGACGGGGACCCGCACAAGCGGUGGAUGAUGUGGAUUAAUUCGAUGCAACGCGAAAACCUUACCUACCCUUGA
rnacentral:rRNA from 1 species